rnacentral:rRNA from 1 species
UUUAUUUGAGAGUUUGAUCCUGGCUCAGGAUGAACGCUGGCGGCGUGCCUAACACAUGCAAGUUGAGCGAUUUACUUCGGUAAAGAGCGGCGGACGGGUGAGUAACGCGUGGGUAACCUACCCUGUACACACGGAUAACAUACCGAAAGGUAUGCUAAUACGGGAUAAUAUAUUUGAGAGGCAUCUCUUGAAUAUCAAAGGUGAGCCAGUACAGGAUGGACCCGCGUCUGAUUAGCUAGUUGGUAAGGUAACGGCUUACCAAGGCGACGAUCAGUAGCCGACCUGAGAGGGUGAUCGACCGCAUUGGAACUGAGACA